rnacentral:rRNA from 1 species
UACGUAGGGGGGCAAGCGUUGUCCGGAAUCAUUGGGCGUAAAGAGCGUGUAGGCGGCCUGGUAAGUCCGCUGUGAAAGUCCAGGGCUCAACCCUGGAAUGCCGGUGGAAACUGUCAGGCUCGAGUCCGGAAGAGGCGAGUGGAAUUCCUGGUGUAGCGGUGAAAUGCGCAGAUAUCAGGAGGAACACCGAUGGCGAAGGCAGGUCUCUGGGCAUUAACUGACGCUGAGGAGCGAAAGCAUGGGGGAGCGAACAGGGA